CCACCACCUUCCCGCCCUCUUUCCUCCCUCCCCACCGACUACUAUCACAGCAACUCCUCCCACCUUCCACCCCACGCACUCAAUACCCCUCAAUCUUAUCCAGCCUGCUCCUCCUCCCCCUCCCUCCCCCAGUCCCUAUUUACCUUGCAGACGGAGCUCUGGGAAGUUCGACCCCCGCCGCCGCCGGGUCUCCGCUGCAGCUCGGCCAGCUGCGCCCGGAGCGUCUCCUUCUGGUGGAAGGAGAAGGCCGGGUGGUUGGACGCCAUGAUGCUGCCAAACCUGUUGAGCUUUUCCAACAUAAUAAUAAAAUGUGAGGCUGGAUGAACACAGCAGGCCAAGCAGCAUCUCAGGAGCACAAAAGCUGACGUUUCGGGCCGAGACCCUUCAUCAGAGAGCCUUUCCAACAACCUUGUUUUUGUCCCUUUCAACCCUUCUUAGUUAUGUAACGUGACUUCGCCUAACGAAGGAGCAGCACUCCCAAAGCUUGUAAUUUCAAAUACAUCUGUGGGACAAUAACCUAGUGUGUGCGACUUAUGUAUUUAUGUGAUCAGAGAUAAUGGGAACUGCAGAUGCUGGAGAAUCCAAGAUAACAAAGUGUGGAGCUGGAUGAACACAGCAGGCCAAGCAUCAGAAAAGCAGACUUUGGUCUAGGGAGGAGGAUUGGAGAAGUUAUUUCAUUACAGGAGUUAUUUUCAUUCAGUGAGUAUCAGAGAUAUGAAUUCACCGCCAGAAAGGGCACUGGAAGGAUGAACCCUGGUCAAAUUUGUGGAACAGUUUGAUGUGUACUUAAGGUAUACUACAGGGAUAUAGACCAAGAGCUGGAAGCACAGGGAUUGAGCUGAGAUUUUCUUCACUGCUACCGACACAAUCGGCAAAAUUAGCUCCUUUUGUGUCUUUAAUCUUUUCGUGCUUCAGUAUUUCUCAACCUUGCUUCAAUAAAAGGGGGAGGGUACCUGCCAUCAAAAUUCAGUUGUGGGUGGGAGAAAAUAAACACACAAUUAGAACUGGAGUAAUUCAAAUGAUCAGAAAGAACUUUUUCCCACAGAGGAUAAAUUACUAAAUUAUAAUCCAGUAGGGUGGAGAAGAACAUCAGAAGUUUCUUCCUUCUCUUCCUAUACUAUCUUUGUUGCCUCAGGGUCAUUUCAUGACAUCACUGUGGGAUAGGCAAUAAGGACUACUUCAGACAACAGGGAUAUUGAACCCAUGAUUGAUGUUGUUCUGAAUCACAAUCUAGUCAUUUGGCUAGCUGAAGUGGAUAAUCCCCUUGAAUAAAAGAUCCAACAUGGAUUAAUGCCAUUUCCUAAUUUGACCAUCAAAAAGUUUUCUUAAUCUUUCUGUCCGGCAUAUUAGUUUUCAUCAUAAGUCUAUGGCCUCUCUGUUUUAGGCCCCUCACUCACUGUCUGCCUAAACUUAUAAUCCUUUGAUAACUCCAAUGUCCAACCAAAAGUCACCAAGCAAUUUCCUAACAGCCCAAUUUUUCAAAUACGUCUCAGUGUUCUUUAUAUGGUUUCACAAUUUAAUGAAUCUGUACCCUCUCUCUCUAUUUCCUCAACACAUUUUCUAUAUGAAACCCAAAACUGCAUAGUAUUCUAACUUGGCUCUUACUAAAAUUGAUCUCUAUCUGUUGAAUUUUGUAAUGCAUCGUUUUUGACACAAAACCCUGCACUCCAUUAACUUUUAAGUGAUCAAGCCACCUGAGGCACUGUUUGUGAAUCUUAAAUCCCAAAUUCUUCUCCAUUUCAUCAUAAGCUUGCCACAUUCUAUGAUUUAUUUUCAACAAAAGAAUUGUUGUAAUCCAUUGUGGCUGACAUAGUGGUUCAGUGGUUAGCACUGCUGCCUCACAGUGCCAGGGACCUGGGUUUGAUUCCACCCUUGGGUGACUGUGUGGAGUUUGCACAUUCUCCCUGUGUCUGCUUGGGUUUCCUCUGGGUGCUCUAGUUUCCUCUCACAGUCCAACGAUGUGCAGAUUAGGUUGAUUGGCCAUGCUAAAUUGUCCAUAAUGUCCAUCCCACUAGUUCUGAGUGGGAUGCAUUUUGGAGGGUUUGUAUGGGCUGAAUGGCCCGCUUCCACACUAUCAGGGAUUCUAUGAUCAGCUAUUUGUUUUGUUCAAUGUGAUGGUAGGACACUAUAGUUUAUUCUCACUGUGUGGGGAAAGGGAACCUGCGAUUUUAUCUUUAAUACAACAGUGCAGAACGGAACCUGUAAUGUAUCUGUAAUUGGUGAGGUGUAGAAUGGCACCUAUUCUUCGUUUUUUAUACAGCAAAUUGGGAUUUAAUAGUGCAAGAAAAUAAUUCAUUAUAGUAAAGUUUUGUUUUGGAUUGUUGAACAAUCCUUUUUUGGAAGGCUAGAAAUGUGAGUUUCAGUUUCAUUUCCUGAGAAAUGAAAAGCAAAGACGGGGACAAACAGCUGAUGAGAGAUCAGCUAAAGCAAAAACAGGUUUUUUCAUGGCAUCAAACAGGAUUAAGCCUGUUUUCAUCAGAAGAACUUGCAUGGACUUUCUUCCCCACAAGCAGCUUAGACUAAUAAUGGCAAGAAGAAUUGAUGAGAAUAAUUUUACCCAAGGCAUUCACAGCAAAAUUCAAAAUCUACAAGAAUCUCAGACUUGAAUAUACUCAACUACUGUGCAAUAAUACCUCUUUGGGAUAAAGAAUACUGAAGAUUUACAAGUUUUUGAGCAGAGGAAUUUCUUCUAAUCUCAGUUCUAAAUGGCUGACACUUCUCCUGAGACACUGUCUCUCGGUUCCAGUCUCACCAGUCAGUGGAAAUAACACCCUGAGCAUCUUCCCAUUGAAGUCCUCACCCCAUCUUGCACGCUAGGUAGCUGAUGGCCUAGUGGUAUUCUCACUGGACUAAUCAAUCCAGAAAAUCACCUAAAGCUUUGGAGACUUGGGUUCAAAUCCUGCCAAGGGCAGAUGAUGGAAUUUGAAUUCAAUAGAAAUCUGGAAUUAAGAAUCUAAUGAUGACCAUGAAAUUAUCGUCAAUUGUUGAGGGGAAAGAAAAACCCAUGCGGUCCACUAAUGUCCUUGGAUGAUGGUAAUUGCUACCCUUACUGGGCUCUGGCCUCCAUGUGACAUCAGAUGCACAACUCUCAACUACUCUCUAGGCAAUUAGAGGUGGCCAAUAAUUACUGGCUUGGCCAGUCAUUUUCUCAUUCUUUAAAUGAAUAUAUUAAAAACACUUUGAUUAGACCACCCCUCAUUCUUUGAAACUCAAAGAGUAUAAGCACCAUUCUACUCAAUUUCUCCUCAUAUAGCAGUGUCCUCAUUCCAGGAAUCAAUUGA